rnacentral:rRNA from 2 species
CCAAAAAUGGUACUCCUUUAAAGAUCUUCUGUUAAGGUGAAACCUUUAUUUGAUGUCCUGUAUCAUAGAACUUUGUCGGUCACUAGUUAAAAAUCUUUAUAAGACAAGAAAUUGUGCAUAUGAGUACAUCUUUUUUAUGACCUAUAAAGUGCCAGCAGUCGCGGUCAUACUUUAAUAAAUAUAAAGGAUUAUAGAUAUUAAAAACAUAUUCUUAAAUCCCGAAGUGAAAUACUGGAAAAAACAAAUCAAACUGUUUAUCUAUUAAAUGCUAAAGACAAACAGGGAUUAGAUACCCCUUUAUGUAGCGUUCAAUUAUUAUCUCUGGGGAUUAAAGCUCUAAAGCCUAAACUCAAUUAACAUGGCGGUGGUUUAAACAUUUAGGGGAACUUACGGGGUAAUUGAUAACCACCAAGAUAAUUAACGGUUAGUUAAAUUUUGUAUACCGUCGUCGUGGAUAACCUAUCUUAGGUUAUCAUUCCGUUCUCAACGAAAAGACAGAUCAAGGUGCAGAUAAUCUAUCCGUCCACGCGAGUUACAUUAGUAAUUUACUUCAAAAAAGGUUUUAAUACUAAGUAUUUGACGGACUUAAAAGUAAUUAAAAUUAUACUUAAGCCAUGAAUAACUCUUAAACCGUGC